rnacentral:lncRNA from 1 species
UGUUUACAGUCAAUUUUGAUAUUUAUUAGAAAAGGUCUGCUAAUACUUCCUAGAGAUUCUCCUACAUUGAUUCUUCCACAUGACUAUUAAAAUCAUGUUACAAAUUUUACUACUAAGUCUUAAGGGAGAUAGUUAAGGCUGCAGCUGAUCUAGAGUUAGUAAUUGUAGCAUUCUUUCAUCAUUAAACUUUAUAUAUACUUCUAAUUAUUUAUUGUUAUGUUGCUGUUAUCAACUGUUUUGUAUGUAUAGAUUUCUUAAGUUAAAUUAUUUUCUUACAUGAAUUUCUUGGAAAUGUGGGAAUUCAGAGAAAUGGUAGCAACAAAUCUACAAUUGUCCUUACAGCCUAUAGUUUGCCUUUCAUAGAGAAUGUGCACAGAUCAUCUCAUCAGAAUAAGCCAGUAUGAUUCCAGAGUCACUAUCAUUAUGUUUUGAUAUUAACAUUAGUUUUUUUCAAUAUAAAGAAAAUAAGAUGUUACCUUAAUUUUAAUUGCAUUUCUUCUGUAUCAAAAUUGAAGUUUAUGUGAGCCCCUAAAGUGGGUUCAAAUUCCUUUAGUGUAAAUUAUUUAUAAUCUUUGUUCACUUACCUCUCAGGGUCUUCAUUUGAAUAUAUUGUAUGUAUUAUAGGCGGAUUAUCUUUCUAGUGAUCUGUACUUAAUUAAAUUUUCUAAGAUUUGUUUUUACUUAAUUCAACAAUCCAUCAGGAACUAGAUUGAUGUAGACUGUGUGAGCUGUGUAUCUAAAUUACUUUUUCCACAAAUCUAAUUAUUCUUAUUUAUUAAUGAAUAUUCUUUUUAUUAUUUCCAGAUGUUUCCUAUGUCAAAUACGAAUGUCUGUUAAAGCUUCUUUCAGACAUUUUCACUAUGUUUUAUUUAUUUUCAGACUUAUUUUUGUUCUAGUAGCAUACUGUUUUGAUUAUCACUGUUUUAAAAUGUGACUUGAUAUUUGAUUGGGUUGGCAGUCCUGCCUCACAGUUUUUCUACUAAAAAAUAUUUUUUAUAAUCUCUCUUUUUUUUUUGAAUUUUAAAAAAGUUUUGCUAAAUGGCAAGAAAAGAAUUAGGAACUGUUUUAUUUAGUGGGCAUCGUAUCAACUCCACAGAACAACUUAUGUAAAAGCUUCUUUUAAAAUUAUUAGUCAAUGUAUCACUAUUUCCAUUAUAGAGAAAUCAUAAAAUAUUCAAGAAGCAUUUUGCUUAAAAACAGGGUUUUUUGUUUUUUGUUUUUUUGUGGAUGUAUAGUUGACAUAACAUUGUAUGUUUCAGAUG